AUUGAACGCUGGCGGCAGGCCUAACACAUGCAAGUCGAGCGGAUGAGUGGAGCUUGCUCCAUGAUUCAGUGGCGGACGGGUGAGUAAUGCCUAGGAAUUUGCCUGGUAGUGGGGGACAACGUUUCGAAAGGAACGCUAAUACCGCAUACGUCCUACGGGAGAAAGCAGGGGACCUUCGGGCCUUGCGCUAUCAGAUGAGCCUAGGUCGGAUUAGCUAGUAGGUGAGGUAAUGGCUCACCUAGGCGACGAUCCGUAACUGGUCUGAGAGGAUGAUCAGUCACACUGGAACUGAGACACGGUCCAGACUCCUACGGGAGGCAGCAGUGGGGAAUAUUGGACAAUGGGCGAAAGCCUGAUCCAGCCAUGCCGUGUGUGUGAAGAAGGUCUUCGGAUUGUAAAGCACUUUAAGUUGGGAGGAAGGGCAGUAAGUUAAUACCUUGCUGUUUUGACGUUACCAACAGAAUAAGCACCGGCUAACUUCGUGCCAGCCGCCGCGGUAAAAC
rnacentral:rRNA from 1 species